ACGCUUUAAGGAUGACUGCACUUUGAAUUGGAGUGUAUCUGCCUCCGACUCUUGCUUAACUGUGACAUGGGAGAGAGAGAAAAGAAAGUGAGGUCAAAUCCCCUGAAAUCCGAGAAGGCUUUCAAGUUAAAGAUGCAAACUGGCCAUACCUACAAAGAAAUUCAUCUGGAUUUGACGAAACGUUUGCAGUGUUAGUAAUGAUGGUUUUGCAGCAUUGGUGUCAACACUCAUCCAAGUACACUUGAAAUGUGUUCAGUUUAUUGUAUGUAUAUUCUACUUCACGGUUUUUCAAAGAAGAAAUACAGUUAACCGUUUAGCAGGAGAAAACAAGUGAUCAACCCUCAGUCGCUGCGACUAAUCACGAAGCUCCAGGGUCUGCAAAAUUACUAUUUGGGAAAAUCAUGCCAGUUUUUUCAACAAGCAUUCGUGAAGUGGCUACUAGUGCCAGAACAGCGGAGCAGGUGAAGUUAACAGGCUGUUGCUGUUUGCUGGGUCUUAAAGGGUCCAAAAAGU